AUUGAACGCUGGCGGCCGGCCUAAUACAUGCAAGUCGAACGAGUGGCGGACGGGUGAGCAACAUCUGGGAACCUGCAUGAUGGAGGGGGAUAACUAUUGGCCACGGUAGCUAAUACCGCAUACCACGAGAUGUGCCCAUAGAGGAUCAGCUUGUUGGUGAGGGAACGGCUCACCAAGGCGACAAUACCUAGCUGGUCGGAGAGGGUGACCAACGAGACUGGAACUGGGACACGGUCCAGACUCCUACGGGAGGCAGGAUUUGGGAAUAUUGCGCAAUGGAAGGAAGCCUGAUACAGCCAUGCCGCGAGUAUGAAGAAGGCCUUCGGGUUGUAAAGUACUUUCAGCGGGGAAGCGUUACCCGCAGAAGAAGCACCGGCUAACUCCGUGCCAGCGGCCGCGGUAAUUG
rnacentral:rRNA from 1 species